GACAGCCGAGGGGAGGGGCUUUGGUUAACCUUGCGCUACCGGCAGUGCCCGCCUCCCAGCGCCUGUAUCUGAGUGUUCGAAUUCAUUUGCCCGCUAAAACUGCUGGGAUUGCGACCCCGCCCUAAACCACAGGCGCGAGCCUCCAACGCUGAGAGGUGUUCCUGCGGCUGCGCAGGGGCGUCGGCGCGCCUGCGCGCUUUCUUCCAGCGCUGGAGAAGCUUCGUGGAGAGGGCUCGGCGGGGUGAAGCCGCUAGGCGCCUGGCCUCCCUACUGCCAUUGGUAGCGUGAAUCUCAUCAGCACAGAGAGAAAGCUUCACUGAAAACUCAUUGCAGGUCUGAGGGGUAGAACUUGAAUGGAAGAUCUUCCAGUGAACUUGGUGACCCAAACUCAGAGAAAUGAAACAGUUAAAAUUUCCCCAAUUACUUGGAAAUACUAAGUAUUAUCAUUUGAGAAAACCUGUGACCACACCAUUGCAGCCAUCUAAGCCCCAUCAUGUAUAACACUCAAAGGGCUUUGAAAUCCUGGGCUCCUAGAGAAAGUAUAGGAAUUCCAAUGAGGACAGUUGGCCGAUUUAGGAGUAAAGCUACCUCUGGGGAAAGCCAAGAAAUUUCCAUGCGUGGGAUGAAGUGCUCCUGGCUUCUUAACAAGAAUCACUGAGGCAUCAAGAGCACAGUUUUGUUCUCUGGGUGUCUCAGCGAGCUCCAAAGCACACCCUGCCCAACACACCACACUAACAGCCACCCUGCCUGCCCAAUCCAGCCUACACUCCUGCCCAGGGCCUGAAAUCUUAUGACCCCUCACAAGUCCAAGGUACAAAGUCACAUACUGGUAGUCUUUGCUAAACUGCCGCCACAGCCAGUGUUCAUCAGAAAGACCUUUUGAAAUAAAUGUCUUUCCACUGCCA